AUGAUCUCAAAGACUCCCCUUCUCUGGCUGCUGCUUUUCUGGCUUCAGGGUUCCAGUGGACAGAUUGUGAUGACUCAGACUCCAGAAUCCCUGGCAGUGUCUCCAGGAGACAGAGUCACCAUCAACUGCAAAGCCAGUUCUAGUGUUAGCGGAUGGGUGUCCUGGUACCAACAGAAAUCAGGACAAGCUCCAAAGCUCCUUAUCUAUCUUGCUUCCACCCGUUCCUCUGGGAUCCCAGACCGGUUCAGUGGCAGUGGGUCGGGCACUGACUACACAUUCACCAUCAGCAGGAUUGAAGCUGAUGAUGCUGGAGAUUAUUACUGCCUGCAGAAGACUGCUAGCUUCCCUCUCACACAAGGGAGGUCUAGGUUGGACAUU